AUUGAACGCUGGCGGCAGGCCUAACACAUGCAAGUCGAACGGUAACAGGAAGAAGCUUGCUUCUUUGCUGACGAGUGGCGGACGGGUGAGUAAUGUCUGGGAAACUGCCUGAUGGAGGGGGAUAACUACUGGAAACGGUAGCUAAUACCGCAUAACGUCGCAAGACCAAAGAGGGGGACCUUCGGGCCUCUUGCCAUCGGAUGUGCCCAGAUGGGAUUAGCUAGUAGGUGGGGUAACGGCUCACCUAGGCGACGAUCCCUAGCUGGUCUGAGAGGAUGGCCAGCCACACUGGAACUGAGACACGGUCCAGACUCCUACGGGAGGCAGCAGUGGGGAAUAUUGCACAAUGGGCGCAAGCCUGAUGCAGCCAUGCCGCGUGUAUGAAGAAGGCCUUCGGGUUGUAAAGUACUUUCAGCGGGGAGGAAGGGAGUAAAGUUAAUACCUUUACUCAUUGACGUUACCCGAAGAAGAAGCACCGGCUAACUCCGUG
rnacentral:rRNA from 1 species